ensembl:lncRNA
CCCAGACAGUUGACUGUAACACCAAGAAUAGCUGUCUUUUCCAAAAAUAUAAAAACUCCCAGGCUUCUAGACUUAUGAUUGCCCAAAAUUUCAUUUAUAACGUUUACAUGUGGACGGAGAUAUUUUUUUCAAAACUGCACAUGUGGACAAGAUGGUUUUUUUUGUUUUGUUUUUUUUAAAAAUGCCCAUGUACAUGUGGACGUAGCCUAAAACAUGCUACCAAUAAAUAGUGAUAAUAAAAACUAUGAGAGGCCAUUAGUACGGUGGCUGGGAAGUGCAAAUCGCAACAAAUUAAAAAACCGCAACAAAUUACAAAAACCCCACAACAAAAUACAAAAAGCCCACAACAAAAUACAAAAAGCCCACAACAAAUUACAAAAAGCCCACAACAAAAUACAAAAAGCCCACAACAAAUUACAAAAACCCACAACAAAUUACAAAAAGCCCACAACAAAUUACAAAAAGCCCACAACAAAAUACAAAAAGCCCACAACAAAUUACAAAAAGCCCACAACAAAAUACAAAACCCCCACAACAAAAUACAAAACCCCCACAACAAAAUACAAAACCCCCACAACAAAAUACAAAAAGCCCACAACAAAUUACAAAAAGCCCACAACAAAUUACAAAACCCCCGCAACAAAUUAAAAAUCCUUGACGGAAAGGGAUUGUCUGAAAUACCGGAAGUGACACAACGAUUAAGCUUACUCCAUAUUUUUAGCUCAGAAAAGUGAUUCGGGAUGUAAACAAACGUCGAGAAACGCACUCCUCACAGCGCUUCCUCAUUACCCUGACCGUGCUCGCUGCAUUAAAAAUAGAUGGAAAAUGUUUUGUCCGUUUUGUGGCGUUAGCUUCUGCCUCUUCGCCCCUUUUUGUGCUUCCUGUGGACGGUCUCUGGAGCUUUUGCGGGACACAGACCAGGCCGAAGGAUCAGACUCCCCAGGGACAUCAAAACAUACAAAAAAUUCUGAACAAAGUAAUUUUGAUAUAUUACUCACUUUUUUUCUCUUCAGUCUAUACUAUUUCAGUUAAAUAGCACGUUUAUUUACCAUUUUGGCUUUUGUUUCUUUUUAUGUUUC